GUGCCCGGUGCGCAGGUGCGGAGUUCUUCGCCUCUUCAGCGGGUGGUUGCGGGUUCGAGUCCCGCCUGGCCUUG
rnacentral:tRNA from 1 species